rnacentral:rRNA from 1 species
AACGAACGCUGGCGGCAUGCCUAACACAUGCAAGUCGAACGAUAUCUUCGGGUCUAGUGGCGCACGGGUGCGUAACGCGUGGGAAUCUGCCCUUUGGUUCGGAAUAACAGUUGGAAACGACUGCUAAUACCGGAUGAUGACGAAAGUCCAAAGAUUUAUCGCCAGAGGAUGAGCCCGCGUAGGAUUAGCUAGUUGGUGUGGGAAAGGCGCACCAAGGCGACGAUCCUUAGCUGGUCUGAGAGGAUGAUCAGCCACACUGGGACUGAGACACGGCCCAGACUCCUACGGGAGGCAGCAGUGGGGAAUAUUGGACAAUGGGCGAAAGCCUGAUCCAGCAAUGCCGCGUGAGUGAUGAAGGCCUUAGGGUUGUAAAGCUCUUUUACCCGGGAUGAUAAUGACAGUACCGGGAGAAUAAGCUCCGGCUAACUCCGUGCCAGCAGCCGCAGUAA